rnacentral:rRNA from 1 species
GACGAACGCUGGCGGCGUGCUUCAUACAUGCAAGUCGAACGAGAAGUUACCUUCGGGUGAUGGAAAGUGGCGGACGGGUGAGUAAAAUGUAGAGAAUCUGCCUUUGAGUGGGGGACAACAGUUGGAAACGACUGCUAAUACCGCAUAAGCCCACGGUGCCGCAUGGCACAGCGGGAAAAGGAUUUAUUCGCUUCAGGAUGGACUCGCGUCCAAUUAGCUAGUUGGUGAGGUAACGGCCCACCAAGGCGACGAUUGGUAGCCGGACUGAGAGGUUGAACGGCCACAUUGGGACUGAGACACGGCCCAG